UUGGAGAGUUUGAUUGUGGCUCAGAACGAACGCUGGCGGCGUGCCUAAUACAUGCAAGUCGAACGUGAAAAGGGGCAACCCUUAGUAAAGUGGCGCACGGGUGAGUAACACGUGGGUUAUC
rnacentral:rRNA from 1 species